UUAUACAAUGAAGAGUUUGAUCCUGGCUCAGGAUGAACGCUAGCGGCAGGCUUAACACAUGCAAGUCGAGGGGCAGCGAGAUUGUUAGCAAUAACGAUUGUCGGCGACCGGCGCAAGGGUGCGUAACGCGUGAGCAACUUGCCCGUUUCAGGGGGAUAACCGGUGGAAACGCCGACUAAUACCCCAUAGCAUCACAUUUAGGCAUCUUAAUGUGAUUAAAGAAUUUCGGAAACGGAUAGGCUCGCGUGACAUUAGCUAGACGGCGGGGUAACGGCCCACCGUGGCGACGAUGUCUAGGGGUUCUGAGAGGAAGGUCCCCCACACUGGAACUGAGACACGGUCCAGACUCCUACGGGAGGCAGCAGUGAGGAAUAUUGGUCAAUGG
rnacentral:rRNA from 1 species